UUAAUGCAAAAACUAUGGGAAUCGGCCUUCCUCUAUUUUUCCCCAAUUAUCUUCUCCCUCGUUCACGCCUUAACACAGCAGCGUGUCCUAGCUCUCUCUCUCUCUCUCUCUCUCUCUCUCUCUCCGGCGAAUUCAGCGUCGCCUCCUUCCAACCGCCGGUUCCCCGUCACCGGCGUCGAAGUGCCUUCCUCGCCGUCUCCUUUCCCCCACACAUUCAUUCCCUAAUUCAAAACUUAAAUCCCUAAACAUCCCAUCUCUCUUUUCUUCCUCACACAUAGUUUUCAAACUCGAUGCGCCACCCUCGGCUUGGGGCCACCGUGCUUCGCCCGUGAGCCAUUGUCGGCGCUCGCCCCUCAUUUCGCUGCAGCAUCACCCCCGCUACGCCCCAGUCCAACCACCUCUGUCGGGCUGUCUGCGAUCAUUUCCCGAGCAGCAGCUAGGCUGACUGGGGUUCCAGAGAGCUCUCUUGGCUUCUUGCUAAGUAUGUUGGAAGCAGAUUUUGUGCAGGUGGGGAUCAGCUAUUUUGAGCUAGGAGUUGGCUCCCUUUUUCAAGUCUUCUUUGGGACACUCUGAAGCUCUCGUUGCAAGAGGGGAGAGGUUGGAGCUGGAAAAAUAUUUUCACAGAUUAUACUCCAAGGACUUAAAUGGAGAUUGCUUUCUUGUUGCAGCUCUUGCAACCUAUUGGGAUUUGGUCAAGAUUUUGAUUAGGGACAGCCAACUCUUCCUUGGCUAUUUGUUAACUACUUUUGACAUUUUGUGUAGGUGUACUCAUCUUCAAUAACUCCUCCUUGUUUGAAUGUUGCAGGUUUGCAACUGUUAGAGUGGAAGAAAAGGAUGCAGGGGCAGACUUGCCCUGAUUGGGAAAUGGAAAAGAGGGAUGGGCUUCGAAGUGGCUGAUCUUCAAGCUAUUGGGCCGAGCAUAAAAGAAUUUGGGCUCAAGAGAAAUUAGACAUAGCCCAAUACUUGUACUUUAUAUCAUUAUGGACUUGAUUGCUUAUUUGGAGUUGAAUUCCUUUGUACUAAAUGAAAUUUGAGAAUCUUAUUGAUCGAUCGUAAA